UGGGGAAUAUUGCACAAUGGGGGAAACCCUGAUGCAGCGACGCCGCGUGAACGAAGAAGGUAUUCGUAUCGUAAAGUUCUGUCCUAUGGGAAGAUAAUGACAGUACCAUAGAAGAAAGCUCCGGCUAAAUACGUGCCAGCAGCCGCGGUAAUACGUAUGGAGCGAGCGUUGUCCGGAAUUAUUGGGCGUAAAGGGUACGCAGGCGGUCAAUUAAGUCUGAUGUGAAAGCCCCCGGCUCAACCGGGGAGGGUCAUUGGAAACUGGUUGACUUGAGUGCAGAAGAGGAGAGUGGAAUUCCAUGUGUAGCGGUGAAAUGCGUAGAUAUAUGGAGGAACACCAGUGGCGAAGGCGACUCUCUGGUCUGUAACUGACGCUGAGGCUCGAAAGCGUGGGUAGCAAACAGG
rnacentral:rRNA from 1 species